UGAGCCUCACCCACGUCAUAGAAUCACAGAAUGUCCUGAGUUGGAAGAGACUCAGAAGAAUCCAGUCCAACUCUUGGCACCAUAGAGAACCACCCAGAAAUCGGACUGUACAUUUGUGAACUCUGUUCUGACACUUCCUGAUCUUUGAGAACGCAAUCCAUAGGAGGUACCUGCUUCUCAUCACUGUCAGGAAGAACGCUCAAGGCUGCUCAGAAACAAUCAGCUCCUACAAGCUAAUGAGAACCUUAGCAGUACUUUAUUGUAGAAACCCUAUAGAAGUCUGUGUCACAGGGCAAUGACAUACACACUAAAAGACAGAAAAGAACCCCAACAAAUUCUAUGCAUAUUUCAAUGACGGUGAAACCCUUCAGUUUGUCCUUGGUAAUCUAUGUCCAUAUCUCUGCUUCAGUGCAAUGAGCACAUCCCACUAAGACUGCACAUGAAUCAGCAAGGGGCUCCUUAAUUUGAUAAGAAGUUUCAGAGCUUGGAGGGGGAGGAAAUUCAUGAACUGGAGAGACCAUAGGAAAAGGCUCGGCUACAAACCAGGGUCCUACAUCUUCAGAUCUGAGACCUGAUUUGUUUGUGAAAGAGCUGCAGCCUGCAUUACAUUGAUAGAGAUUUCUGUUCGCUGCUUAGC
rnacentral:lncRNA from 1 species